rnacentral:rRNA from 1 species
UGCCCAAGAGAUCGGGAUAACACCUGGAAACAGAUGCUAAUACCGGAUAACAACAGAUGAUGCCUAUCAACUGUUUAAAAGAUGGUUCUGCUAUCACUCCUGGAUGGACCUGCGGUGCAUUAGCUAGUUGGUAGGGUAACGGCCUACCAAGGCGAUGAUGCAUAGCCGAGUUGAGAGACUGAUCGGCCACAUUGGGACUGAGACACGGCCCAAACUCCUACGGGAGGCAGCAGAC